UGGGGAGUGGUGUAAGCGGCUAGCACGGUGGGUUUUGGUCCCACAAGAGCGGGUUCGAUCCCUGCCUCCCCAG
rnacentral:tRNA from 1 species